rnacentral:SRP_RNA from 1 species
UGGGUCCCGUGCGAUUUUCCACUGUGAACCUUGUCAGGGCCGGAAGGCAGCAGCAAUAAGCAGCUGGCCGAUGUGCUGCGGGGGUGCCCCG